UACGAAGGGUGCAAACGUUGCUCGGAAUUAUUGGGCGUAAAGCGCGCGUAGGCGGCUUUGCAAGUCGGGUGUGAAAUCCCCAGGCUUAACCUGGGAACUGCAUUCGAGACUGCAUUGCUAGAGUAUGGGAGAGGGAAGUGGAAUUUCCGGUGUAGCGGUGAAAUGCGUAGAUAUCGGAAGGAACAUCAGUGGCGAAAGCGACUUCCUGGACCAAUACUGACGCUCAUGUGCGAAAGCGUGGGGAGCAAACAGG
rnacentral:rRNA from 1 species